ACCAGUUCUUGACAUCCUUUGAAGCUUUUAGAGAUAGAAGUGUUCUCUUCGGAGACAAAGUGACAGGUGGUGCAUGGUCGUCGUCAGCUCGUGUCGUGAGAUGUUGGGUUAAGUCCCGCAACGAGCGCAACCACUUAUUGUUAGUUGCCAGCAUUCAGAUGGGCACUCUAGCGAGACUGCCGGUGACAAACCGGAGGAAGGCGGGGACGACGUCAGAUCAUCAUGCCCCUUAUGACCUGGGCUACACACGUGCUACAAUGGCGUAUACAACGAGUUGCCAACCCGCGAGGGUGAGCUAAUCUCUUAAAGUACGUCUCAGUUCGGAUUGUAGUCUGCAACUCGACUACAUGAAGUCGGAAUCGCUAGUAA
rnacentral:rRNA from 1 species